rnacentral:lncRNA from 1 species
UUUUUUUUUUUUUAUAAACACGUUAAAUCCUUAAGGAGUUAGAUGAACGUAGUCAAGAGAUGCAUGUUCUAACCCGAUAAGAACAUUAUUUCUUGGAAAAAAAAUUAGAACAAUGUGCAUUAAUUUUUUUUAAACCAUGGUUUACUUAAAUUUUAGUCCUCGUUCAUUUGAUCAAAUUCAAAGCAUGAGUUUAUCGUGACGCGCAUAGAUGCAUUCGUGGGUUCGACAAACACAAUUUCCAUAAUUAAGGGUACUCUUCUUUAUAACCGCGAGACAUUUUUAAAAUGUUCUUCUUAGCAUAAAAUAGUAAUAUUUGUUUAAUCAAAUAACAAGUGCUCACGUCUCAAUUACGUCAUCAGCUCGCUAAUAGUGUUUU